UUCAACAUGCCCCUUUGAAGGAUUAGUCAUAUGCCGAUAAUGACAAAAUGUAUUGGCCCUUUGCUUCACGAACAAUGAGCUUUUGAUAGCCAGUGUCAUCUUUUUACAGCUGGCGUUUACACUGGACUUGUUCUAGCGUUGGACAUCGGUUUUGGAAGAUCCAAUUAUUACGUUCUCUGAAAGUGGUUUACCUGAAUCAGGUGCCAGUGUGGGGCCACAGUUGCUGUACAGAUGAGCGCUGUGAUAAAUAUGAGCCAGAGAGGGAGAAAUGAGAGUGCUUAAAGAGGAGGAUGCUAUUAAUGUGGUACAGCUUGAAGCAGGCAUCGGGUGCAGGUGGAGAUGGACCUGGCUCAAGCUGGAGGCCAAAAUAAAAAAGCAAAGAAAUUAGGCAAAUUUUAUUUGAAUCUUAAAUAUGUACAUCAACAUGUACUUGAGCGGUGUAAAUAAAUGUUUUUCUGCUUGAAGUCUUCCAGAUUGCUUAAUUUAUGUUAAAAUCCAAUACAUUCUCUGCGGGGGCCCGGGAUCCACCCCAAACACCCCGACAAUGUUUUUUUCUGUGACCUUUUUCAUGCCUUUGGUGUUUUCAUGUUUUCUGAAUUUAAAAGGCAACACCUGAGCAUCUAGAAACACCCAUCAGUCACAUCUUUUGCUCACUUGAAAAGUAAGUCGGUUCAAACAAAAGGUGCUCUGUCCAGACUUGUU